CACGUAGGGCGCGAGCGUUGUCCGGAAUUAUUGGGCGUAAAGAGCUCGUAGGCGGCCUGUUGCGUCCGCUGUGAAAGCCCGGGGCUUAACCCCGGGUCUGCAGUGGAUACGGGCAGGCUAGAGGUAGGUAGGGGAGAAUGGAAUUCCCGGUGUAGCGGUGAAAUGCGCAGAUAUCGGGAGGAACACCGGUGGCGAAGGCGGUUCUCUGGGCCUUACCUGACGCUGAGGAGCGAAAGCGUGGGGAGCAAACAGG
rnacentral:rRNA from 1 species